UUAUUACUCUCUUCGUCCGGAAAUAUUUGUCCUAAAAAUGUAUAUAAUGGAUGUAUCUAUAANNAAAAUAAGUCUAGAUACAUUCAUCUCUAGAAAAUAAGUCUAGAUACAUUCAUCUCUAGGACAAGUAUUUCCGGACGAAGGGAGUAUAUU
rfam:Hordeum vulgare subsp. vulgare, WGS project CAJW01000000 data, contig: morex_contig_37566